rnacentral:rRNA from 1 species
AGUGAACGCUGGCGGUAGGCCUAACACAUGCAAGUCGAACGGCAGCACAGGAGAGCUUGCUCUCUGGGUGGCGAGUGGCGGACGGGUGAGGAAUACAUCGGAAUCUACUCUGUCGUGGGGGAUAACGUAGGGAAACUUACGCUAAUACCGCAUACGACCUACGGGUGAAAGCAGGGGACCUUCGGGCCUUGCGCGAUUGAAUGAGCCGAUGUCGGAUUAGCUAGUUGGCGGGGUAAAGGCCCACCAAGGCGACGAUCCGUAGCUGGUCUGAGGGGCGGAUCAGCCACGAUAGAACUGAGACACGGUCCAGACGCCUACGGGGGGCAGCAGUGGGGAAUAUUGGACAACGGGCGCAAGCCUGAUCCAGCCAUAGCGCGUGGGUGAAGAAGGCCUUCGGGUUGUAAAGCCCUUUUGUUGGGAAAGAAAUCCAGCUGGCUAAUACCCGGUUGGGAUGACGGUACCCAAAGAAUAAGCACCGGCUAACUUCGUGCCAGCCGCCGCCGUAA